AUGCUAAUGAUAUGAUUAUACUUGGUACUACUAGUGGGACUUGAUUCUGUGCUGGUGUUUUUAUUCAAAUUUAUAAAGGCUAUAAAUUCAGUAGCAGGUCUUCCUGGUUAGCCUUUGUCUAUUUAUUUUUCUAUUAUAAUAACUUCCUGUAUAUUUUAUAUAUUUAUAUAUAUUUAUAUAAAUAGUAAUUGAAACAUUCCUAUCUUGUCAUGUG
rnacentral:lncRNA from 1 species